GAGCACGUUGCGCAGGAAGUUCAUCCUCCUCUUUGACAGGCACCCGGUGGAGGCUGGAAGGUUGGGAGCCUUAACGGGAUUCCCCCGAGAUCCUGAGCAUUCCCUGGUGCAAAUGAAUGAGCGAUAAAAAAAAUAGCCAAUGGUAAAAUGAAACAAAUACACACAUAACACAGACAUGUGCAAGCUGUUUUACCUUGCGGCGGCCAUCAAAACAAAUACUUGGAAUAAAUUUCAGCCUGAAACAAUACAGAAGUACUUCAAGAAAGCUAGAUUUGUUACAACUCAUGAGCAAGAUAUUGCAGCCCCACUAGGCAGCCUACCUCCCAUGGUGGAAUUUGAGUAGAUUUUGAAGACAUUAUUGCAAUGGAUGACGAUGUGGCAAUCUGCAAUGGACCUGACCUAGAAGCAAUUUUCCAAUAAGUAUUGACCAAGGUACAACCCAGCGGAAAAGUGCUGGAAGCAAUUGAUGAAGCAGAAGAAUUAAGUGAAAAUUAGGUGAGGACAGUGAAAUUGCAGACAUUGUCUGCAGAUAAAUUGCAGACAAAAGAGGAUGUCAGUCAUUUGAUAAUGUUAAAGUCAUUUGCUAUGGAAAAAUGCCCAGGUAUUCUGAGCGAUAUAGCCAGCAUUAAGAGUGCUUUCUCCUCCUACCUUCAUAAAAAGAAUAAGAAACAUACUUUUUUUUCAAAUGAACAAACCGUAAGAAAACCAUACGUAAAUCUAUUGAUUUUGUAUAUUGUAUGAAUGAUUUUCCUGUUUUCACUGUGUUUCUAUGUGAGAUUCUCUAAUAAAAGUUGUACAAUAAAA